rnacentral:rRNA from 1 species
UUCUGGGGCGAUUGACAGCUUGAGAGCUCUUUCUUGAUUCGGUGGAUGGUGGUGCAUGACCGUUCUUAGUUGGUGGAGUGAUUUGUCUGGUUAAUUCCAAUAACGAACGAGACUCAAGCCUAUUAGAUAGGUGCGUGGUUCUCUGCACCUUGCACCCUUCUUAGAGGGACAAGCGGCUCCUAGCCGCACGAAACAGAGCGAUAAGAGGUCUGUGAUGCCCUUAGAU